GGCUAUAACCGUUUGAAAAUAAGCAUAUAACUAAUAAAUCCUCUUCUCAUUUCAUUCAAUUUCAAAUCCGUCAAUCCCCUUUCUCUCCCAAAGGUUCUUUCAAUCUCUGUGAGAAACCACUUUCUCUGUUGUUUUUACUCUCCCUCUUCUCACAUCUUUUUUUCUCCAUUUCACUUCUUCAAGAAGGAAUUCGAGAAAUCACAACCCCUUUCACAUGGCGUAUCUGUGAAUCUGUUACCUAGUACAAUUCUGAGUCUCUUUUCUUUUCCCUUUUCUUUUUCUCUGUUUGGCUGCUAGGAUUCGGAAAAGUGAGGGAGAAAACCUUGAGUUUAUUUUUUUCGAAUUGCCAUUUCCUCAGUUUCGUUUCUUUUUCUUGGAAUGGUUUUAUUAUGGAUUAUUUCAUGAUUUAUCAGUUUCUCUCUUUUUGCAUGAAUGAUUUUGGGGUUUUUGUUGCUUCGUAUUUUUUACAUUGUGCAUCCAAGCUAGCCCAUGCUUAAUUUCUGAUAAAUGCAGAAAAAAGUUAAGAAAAAUGAGAUAUUUUAAGUCUUCCCUUUCAUAAUUGUCCUCUCACUCGAUAGUCUCCAUUUCACUUCUUCAACAAGGGAACCGAGGAAUCACAACUUCUUUCAUAGUAUGGCGUAUCACCAGGUACAUUUCCGAGUCUCUUUUCCCUUUUUUUCUCUUUUCGCUGUUUGGUUGCUAGGGUUGCAGAUCUGGAAAUAAAAACAUAACAUUUGGUUUUAUUAUGGAUUAUUUCAUGAUUUAUCAGAAAAAAAUGGAAGAAAAAUAAGAUCUUUAAAAAGCUUUUCUAGGCUUUUGCCCUCAUAGGAUAAGUCUUUUAGUUACGGCCAUAUGCGGUCCAAAACACCCAAAAGCCUAAGAUUCAAAAUUUACUUGCGUUCUUUAUGCAUCUAGUUCCAAGUUCUAUGUGUGUUGGAUGAUCAUGCAACACAAUUAAACAGAGCGAGUAUAAGCUCUGACUAGAUAUGCUGGGAACAGGUAUAGUGACAUCAAGUUCAAGGGAGAUGCUUGGAGAGGAGAUAUCCAUUGCAAGCCCACUUUCCUAGUGCCAACUAAUAAGACCACCCUUAGCUGCACAAUAAACAGUUUAAAAAUUU
rnacentral:lncRNA from 1 species